rnacentral:rRNA from 1 species
GACGAACGCUGGCGGCGUGCUUAACACAUGCAAGUGGAGCGACGAACCGGGGCUUGCCCCGGGGCAGAGCCGCGAACGGGUGAGUAACACGUGGGUUACCUGCCCCGUUGACAGGGACAACCCGGGGAAACCCGGGCUAAUACCUGAUGUGCCCUCCGGGGGAAAGGAAGCUUCGGCCUCCGCCACGGGAUGGGCCCGCGGCGCAUUAGCUUGUUGGUGGGGUAACGGCCUACCAAGGCGACGAUGCGUAGCUGGUCUGAGAGGACGAUCAGCCACACUGGGACUGAGACACGGCCCAGACUCCUACGGGAGGCAGCAGUGGGGAAUCUUGCGCAAUGCGCGAAAGCGUGACGCAGCAACGCCGCGUGGAGGAAGACGGCCUUCGGGUUGUAAACUCCUUUCAGUUGGGACGAAGCUCCGCCGGUUAAUAGCCGGUUGGAGUGACGGUACCUUUAGAAGAAGCCCCGGCUAACUACGUGCCAGCCGCCGCCGUAAUAC